rnacentral:rRNA from 1 species
ACCGACUAAUGUUGAAAAAUUAGCGGAUGACUUGUGGCUGGGGGUGAAAGGCCAAUCAAACCGGGAGAUAGCUGGUUCUCCCCGAAAGCUAUUUAGGUAGCGCCUCGUGAACUCAUCUCCGGGGGUAGAGCACUGUUUCGGCAAGGGGGUCAUCCCGACUUACCAACCCGAUGCAAACUGCGAAUACCGGAGAAUGUUAUCACGGGAGACACACGGCGGGUGCUAACGUCCGUCGUGAAGAGGGAAACAACCCAGACCGCCAGCUAAGGUCCCAAAGUCAUGGUUAAGUGGGAAACGAUGUGGGAAGGCCCAGACAGCCAGGAUGUUGGCUUAGAAGCAGCCAUCAUUUAAAGAAAGCGUAAUAGCUCACUGGUCGAGUCGGCCUGCGCGGAAGAUGUAACGGGGCUAAACCAUGCACCGAAGCUGCGGCAGCGACGCUUAUGCGUUGUUGGGUAGGGGAGCGUUCUGUAAGCCUGCGAAGGUGUGCUGUGAGGCAUGCUGGAGGUAUCAGAAGUGCGAAUGCUGACAUAAGUAACGAUAAAGCGGGUGAAAAGCCCGCUCGCCGGAAGACCAAGGGUUCCUGUCCAACGUUAAUCGGGGCAGGGUGAGUCGACCCCUAAGGCGAGGCCGAAAGGCGUAGUCGAUGGGAAACAGGUUAAUAUUCCUGUACUUGGUGUUACUGCGAAGGGGGGACGGAGAAGGCUAUGUUGGCCGGGCGACGGUUGUCCCGGUUUAAGCGUGUAGGCUGGUUUUCCAGGCAAAUCCGGAAAAUCAAGGCUGAGGCGUGAUGACGAGGCACUACGGUGCUGAAGCAACAAAUGCCCUGCUUCCAGGAAAAGCCUCUAAGCAUCAGGUAACAUCAAAUCGUACCCCAAACCGACACAGGUGGUCAGGUAGAGAAUACCAAGGCGCUUGAGAGAACUCGGGUGAAGGAACUAGGCAAAAUGGUGCCGUAACUUCGGGAGAAGGCACGCUGAUAUGUAGGUGAAG